rnacentral:lncRNA from 1 species
UUCUGUAGGGUCUUUUUCAAUUUGAAGAUAACUUUCUUUGGUCUAAAGACUUUGAGACUUUUGCCUUUCUUAGGACCAGAUCUCCUGGACGGAAGACCUUCGAUUUAACUUUUGAAUUAUAAUAUCAGACUACUCUUUGUCGAUAUACUGUCAUCCAAACUUGAGCUUAUUGUCGGACUUCUAAAAGUAGGUCUAGAUCAGCUCUCCGAUAUUCUGAAUUACUCGGUUCAUUGUAUUAUUCCACCC